GCAUUGCAAGCUAGAGGCUUGCAUCUUAGAAAUUGAGAUUACAACACUUCCAGAUCCCUCCCUCCAAAUGAAUCAUUAACACAAACAACUCCCAGUGAUAAAUGAGAAAAGCAGUGGGCAACAGAGCUCCUUUUAUUUAGCAAAUUCCUGCUUGAAAGGGUCUGCAAAAAUGACUAACACUACAAACUUAUCAGGGUAUAUCUUGGCUUACGAAUACUAUGAUGACUACAUCGACUUUCCAGCAGUGGAUGAAAGGACCCUAAUUGUACAUAAGUAUUCUAUUGCUAUAGCUUUAUGGAGUGGCCUAGCUGUUUUUGUCAUAUUACUUUUCUUGAUGCUUCUAUACGUGUCACGAUCAGAAUCACCAUUGGAACAGCUUUGUCAGGAUUUCUUGUGUUAAGAGGUUGAGAGGGAUGGCCUGAAUCUUAAACUAUAGAUGUUCCAGAUCUCUCCUGAAAAUUGACUCUUUGAGGAAUGCUAACUGUCAAUGGAUAUGUCAGAGGUGCCAUAUGGAUAUUAUGUCCUGUCUCAGAAAACAUGACAGCCACACCUCCAGUGCCGUACAUCUGCCAUUACCUAUGAAUAGGAGAGAUGACUGUGUGGAUGCCAACCAAGAUCAUCAAGGGCAGAACUCCACUUCAGAUUGGUCAGCUGCAAACAGAUGUCUUCCCUGUGAAGAUGAAACAAAGUGUGUCUAGUAGUGCGACUACUUAGGGUUAGGCUUGGAACUUGAUUACUGCAUGAAUUAGUAACACUACAACUGCACUGUGACUACCUCAUAAUAUGUAUGCAUUCUAAUUCUAGAUAUAUUGGAACAUGCGCAAGUGUAUGUUUCCAAAUAACAGCUUAGAAAUGGCACAGCACUCUGUAUCAGAAACAUCUAUACUUUAUUCACCAUCUUCUACUUGGAAGUAAAGUUUCUUAGACUGUUAUGGAGUGUACGCAAUUAAACUAAACUAUUACUGGUAUAUUAGUGGAACAUUGAUUUCAGAUGUAAUGUGGAUAUUUGUUCUGCUAGUCAUUUUUAUUUUGAAGAUGCUGACUGAUCAGUAUUUAGUUUUCUUUCCAGGAAAAGUAAUUGAGUUAGUUUUUAUUGUUUUGUUUAGACUUUCUUUAAGAACACUAAAGGUGAAGUAAUUGAUUCAGUACCCUCUAACAAAGAAACCAAAAUUGUGAAGUAGUGUGGUCAGGAUUAUUUUAUUUAAAGAACUGUAAUCUACAUAUAUAUCAUAUUCAAUAUUAGUAUUCUGCAGGAUUACUAGUUAACCAGGAAGUCUUCAUCAGUCAUUUUAUUUUCAUACUGCAAACUAAUUAAUAUUUCAUAUUGCAUGCUCAUUGUUUAUCACUGCAUUUCAUUUAAUGAUUCCCUUGAUUUAGAAAUCAAGAGAAAAAGGAAAUGAAAAAUGCAACAACAUUUUCUUGUUUUUUUUACCAAUUACUUGUAUUGCUUAAUCUUACAUGUGUACCACAGCAGGCAGAGCUGUACCAGGGGUGUUUCAAAGGGGCUGGUUGCCCAGGGACAAGCUGUUAGGGGGCAGCACGAUCGGCAGUUGCCGAUAUGGUGUGACUGCAGCAAUGGCAUUCAUUUAGGAAGGUACAAAUGAUACUGUGGCUUCUUUAAUGAAUGCCAUUACUGCCUUAAAGGAAUCGUGCUGCAGUUGUAUUAGGGAGCUAUACUUGCUACAGUUUCGGUCUUUUCAAUUCCUUUGGGUUGGGGGAGAUAAAUGACAAUAUGGUUUUUGGAUGUGUAAUGAGUUGGAAGAUUUAAAAAAAAGAUCUCUAGAGUACUUUGUCAGAACGUUUGAUGUAGCAAAUGGCUGUAAGUAAGGAAAUGAUUCUUUUGAGCUGGGUUACAGGAUCUGAAUUGC